CCCCUCUCAGGGUCGCACCUGGGGAGUUUCCAGGGCUCUACCAGAAUCUACUAUGGGAGGGAGAGUCAUGCAGAGGCCUAGCCAUUCCAUUCCUAGCUUGGCCAGUGGCUAGCGAGUGGAAGGCAAUCUGCUAUAAGC